AACGAACGCUGGCGGCAUGCUUAACACAUGCAAGUCGAACGCCCCGCAAGUGCAGUGGCAGACUGGUGAGUAACUCGUGGGAACAUACCCUUUUCUACGGCAUACCUCUGGGUAACUGGUAUUAAUACCGUAUACGCCCUACUACUGGAAGAUUUAUCGGGGAAGGAUUGGCCCGCGUUGGAUUAGCUAGUUGGUGGGGUAAAGGCCUACCAAGGCGACGAUUCAUAGCUGUGCUGAGAGGAGGAUCAGCCACAUUGGGACUGAGACCCGGCCCAAACUCCUACGGGAGGCAGCAGUGGGGAAUAUUGGACAAUGGGCGCAAGCCUGAUACAGCCAUGCCGGGUGAGUGAUGAAGGCCUUAGGGUUGUAAAGCUCUUUCACCGAUGAAGAUAAUGACGGUAGUCGGAGAAGAAGCCCCGGCUAACUUCGUG
rnacentral:rRNA from 1 species